rnacentral:lncRNA from 13 species
GCUGCGCCGUGCUGGCUGUGGCGUCAUGGUGCCGGGUACAAGGAAUCCCUGGCAGUGGUACUGUAAGCACGUGGGGCUGUGACACGGCGCACUCGUGGCUCCGCUGCUGUGUGGGUGCUGGGAGACGCAGCACAGCCAUGUGUGAAGUUGUCUUUAGAUAUGUGGCUGAUGUAUACGUGUGGAGUCAAGGCAAUAUUGCUCUUUGAGCUCAUCUCAGACCUUGCCCCAGGCUGAAACGAAAUUCAGCAUCCACUCACAGAAGAGGAGUGUGGUCUUGGAGAAGAGUACAAAAUGGUAAGUGUAGUCCUUGUGCCCAUGGCACUGUAAAAAUGUAAUUUUGGGAAGUUAAUUUUAAAGAAAAGAUACCCUUGAUCAGAAAGUGUCCGUGAAAGUUUUCUUAUUUAUUGAGUUAAUUUUUAUUGUGUCACUUUUGUUUUGUUUCUUGAUGCAAUGCAAUGUAUAAGGCAACUUUUACCAUGUUGGGAUUUGCAGGUUAGCUAGGGUUAUGCUCGGAACAUGCUAAGUGCUAUAAAAAUUGCACUUAUUGCAGACCUGCAUGGUCUGCAUAUUUCAAUUCAAAAUUGAAAUUUUUAAUAGCUGCAUUUUCUGGAUUUUAUUUGCUUGUCUGUUAAAUAUAACAGCCUGUUUGCAUUAAAGUAUAAUGAAAGAUUAUUAACAACAAGGAACUCUGGUGUAAAAAGUAGGUGAACAUGUUAAAUGAAUUCCCAUGAGAGAAACUUCCAAUACUGGAAACUUGAUAGAAAUGAAAACCCCCUUCUUUUCACACAGCCUCUGUAGAGCAAAGGUUGCUAAAAAUUAGUCAACUGUAAUACGUAAUUCUAUAUAAAGGCUUAGCUUUAUAUGCUUAUUUUGGAUUUAUCUGUAUACACUAAAUCU